AAUUAUGUACCACGCUUUUUUGGAACACCUUGUAUCAAUCAAACUAAUUUUGAAAAGUAACCUGUUUAACUCAAUUAACAUUCCCUUUUUUAAAGUAUUUUUCCGCUUCGAAAUUUAGCCGCAAUUGAGCACCGCGAUAUUAAAUGGACACCCUGUAUAUAUAUAUAUACCGACCUAAUUUGGAGACUGCGAACCGAUCGUGGUCAGCACUUCGGUUCGGUAUUCGUACGGUACCUAAUUUAUGAGUUUGUGCCAAAAUGAGUAAUCUUGACCAGGCUGUUUUUUUAGGUUAUAAGUAGGUCGUGGAGUAAAAGUUUUUUGAGCAGUUUUUUAGAUGCGCGAUUUAUUUAAGUCGUUAAAAAAUAAAUGCGAGGAUAUAUUAGUUGUCAUUACAAAUGAUUCAAUUGUGUUCAAUUCCCGUCGUUCAAUUCUGUGAUAGUUCGUUUCUUGACCCAUAUUUUUAAUAGUAGCAUCAAAAAUUGGAUUUGUCCUAUUUACUUGUGCUACUAUUAUAUAAUUAAUACAAUUAAAUUGGUUUUUUUGAAUAAUGUCCCAAAAAUUGUGGAUAAACACUAGAAUCGUAAAUAAUUAUGUAACUUACAUUAAUACUAUUAAAAAUUAUUUUUACUUGUAAUCGGAAUCAUUACUACAUUCAUUUUUUAACUGUAAUACUUUCUUUAGAUGUCUGCAAGCACAUCUUCAAUUUAAGAUCUAUCAAUUAAGGCACUAAAAAUCUGUUGAAGACGUGGUCUCCAUUUAUUUAGCCGAAGCAUCAGAACUCUGUAACAGAAAAAUUUAAGUACCAAUAACAGAAAUAAAUACUCUUGAAAGCCAGCUUUAAGAAAAAUAAAACAUAGAAUAAGAAAAAAUGUGACUGAAUGUUCUUUAUUUUUAGUUUUUAUACACUUAAAUAUUUAUAAAUAUACAUAAUUAUAUCAAAUUUAAAUAAAUGAACUACAACGAAA